AGAUUGAACGCUGGCGGCAGGCCUAACACAUGCAAGUCGAGCGGAAACGAGUUAUCUGAACCUUCGGGGAACGUUAACGGCGUCGAGCGGCGGACGGGUGAGUAAUGCCUAGGAAAUUGCCCUGAUGUGGGGGAUAACCAUUGGAAACGAUGGCUAAUACCGCAUGAUGCCUACGGGCCAAAGAGGGGGACCUUCGGGCCUCUCGCGUCAGGAUAUGCCUAGGUGGGAUUAGCUAGUUGGUGAGGUAAGGGCUCACCAAGGCGACGAUCCCUAGCUGGUCUGAGAGGAUGAUCAGCCACACUGGAACUGAGACACGGUCCAGACUCCUACGGGAGGCAGCAGUGGGGAAUAUUGCACAAUGGGCGCAAGCCUGAUGCAGCCAUGCCGCGUGUGUGAAGAAGGCCUUCGGGUUGUAAAGCACUUUCAGUCGUGAGGAAGGUAGUGUGUUUAAUAGCUGCAUUAUUUGACGUUAGCGACAGAAGAAGCACCGGCUAACUCCGUGCCAGCAGCCGCGGUAAUACGGAGGGUGCGAGCGUUAAUCGGAAUUACUGGGCGUAAAGCGCAUGCAGGUGGUUUGUUAAGUCAGAUGUGAAAGCCCGGGGCUCAACCUCGGAAUAGCAUUUGAAACUGGCAGACUAGAGUACUGUAGAGGGGGGUAGAAUUUCAGGUGUAGCGGUGAAAUGCGUAGAGAUCUGAAGGAAUACCGGUGGCGAAGGCGGCCCCCUGGACAGAUACUGACACUCAGAUGCGAAAGCGUGGGGAGCAAACAGGAUUAGAUACCCUGGUAGUCCACGCCGUAAACGAUGUCUACUUGGAGGUUGUGGCCUUGAGCCGUGGCUUUCGGAGCUAACGCGUUAAGUAGACCGCCUGGGGAGUACGGUCGCAAGAUUAAAACUCAAAUGAAUUGACGGGGGCCCGCACAAGCGGUGGAGCAUGUGGUUUAAUUCGAUGCAACGCGAAGAACCUUACCUACUCUUGACAUCCAGAGAACUUUCCAGAGAUGGAUUGGUGCCUUCGGGAACUCUGAGACAGGUGCUGCAUGGCUGUCGUCAGCUCGUGUUGUGAAAUGUUGGGUUAAGUCCCGCAACGAGCGCAACCCUUAUCCUUGUUUGCCAGCGAGUAAUGUCGGGAACUCCAGGGAGACUGCCGGUGAUAAACCGGAGGAAGGUGGGGACGACGUCAAGUCAUCAUGGCCCUUACGAGUAGGGCUACACACGUGCUACAAUGGCGCAUACAGAGGGCGGCCAACUUGCGAAAGUGAGCGAAUCCCAAAAAGUGCGUCGUAGUCCGGAUUGGAGUCUGCAACUCGACUCCAUGAAGUCGGAAUCGCUAGUAAUCGUGGAUC
rnacentral:rRNA from 1 species